UGCAGAUGGAGGGUGGAGUAUGGAGCCACCUGCCCAUCCCUCUUCCUCAGGAGCUGCUGCUGGACAUGCCAACUGUUUUCAGAAGUGGAGCAGAGCCAGGGUGAUGGAGAACCUGACUUAGGCCCACUGUGCCACUGCCCAGGAGCUGCCUGAAGUAAGCGGUGUCCUGAAGGAGCCUGUAUCCUGAACCCCUACCCCAGCCUGGUGAAAGUGAGUGAGGAUGGGAAGAGUGAGCAGGUACUGCACCAGCUAACGAGACUUGGCCAAGUAUGGCAAGAUGUGCUUCCAGUCAACGUCUGCUGCAAGGCCAUGGGGACCUUACUGAAUGCAGCACUCAGUGAGAUUAUUAAGAGAGUCACAGCCUUAGAGGAUAUCUCUGCUGAGGACACAGACAGAUUGCACUUCCUAUGCAGGGCCAUCCUGGAAGAAGGACCUCUGAUGUUCACUCCAUUACCCGAAGAAAAUCAAACUAAGAAAUACCAAGAGGAAGUUCCAGUCUAUGUGCAGAAAUGGAUAAUGUUCAAAGAGCUACUGCUGAUCCUGCAGGCCAAUCUGCAAGAAACAGUAGAUCGGUAGGCAUCUUUCUACUAAUACGCACAAGAAUUCUUUCACAUACCUAUGGGGCAGAUAGAUGAUGCCAUCAAACCUGCAGUGUUCUCAGUUCAAGGAAUGCUGUCUGCUUGAAACUGUGUUAGUUUUAAUAAAGGAUGUCAAGUAGUUUUGGAUAGUGUGACUACCUAUAAUUCCUCCUGAUUGGUUUUUGCGAUUUUGUGCAUUUUCCAUUUCUCCGCAAAAGAGCAACGCGAAUGGGAAACUGGCUGGCCGUGUAAGGGAGACGUGAAAAUGACUAUUUACAAAAUGCUGCCCAAAGGCAGAAACGUGUCUAACCAGACCUAUUUUUUUUCUCUUCACAAGGCAACAAAUCUUAGACCUGCCUUGUGUAUCUCUUUGCAGCUGCCACGGCGCUUACCCCUCACUUUUGAGGUUAUCUGUUGUAUUUUGCUGUGUGGCCAGUUUGAACUUGAAGAUGCUAAGUCUUACUCCUUUAGACUGGCAAGGGAGACUCACAGGAAUUUUACAAAAGAGUUGGGCCCAAAAAGCUCUGAAGGCAACAGUAACUGACAGCAGAUGCCUGGAACCGACUGUCUUGGCAACCUUAUCUCGAAGGUGCAAGGCACAUGGAGAGUAAAUGGGAAAAGCAACUUCUCCCUUGGAUCCAAAUGCGGGAUCACAACCCACCCUCUGAGCUCCUCACAGCAGCUGUUGGAACAAUUUGGGAUAGUUCUGAAUGCUCUGGUUCCACCCCCGGUCUUGCAGGCCCAAGAGCUGGUGACUUGGGUGGACCCAGUAAAAUGCAGGCAGAGCAGGCUGAGAGGGGAUUGGGAGCUAGAUGCAGAGCGGAAGCUAUCUUUGUAAUGGGUAAGAUAAUUGUCUCAAUGAUUUAAUUACCUGCAUCCUGCUUCAA